GACGAAGGCGACAACGACGUCAAAGAAGAGGACAAAGAAAACUGGGAGAAAUACUUAGAAAAAUUAGGAAAAUGUGAGAACUGCACUAGUACAUCCCAUCGUUGGAUAGUUACCUGCGGCAAAAGGAGCACGGCCAAGAAAGGGAAGUACGAGGUGUGCGGUUACAUCCAGGGAUCUCGGAAAUUUUACUCUAUAAAACAGUUGGAAGGAGAGUGUUUCAA